rnacentral:rRNA from 1 species
GACGAACGCUGGCGGCGUGCUUAACACAUGCAAGUCGAACGGAAAGGCCCGGCUUUUGUGGGGUGCUCGAGUGGCGAACGGGUGAGUAACACGUGAGUAACCUGCCCUUGACUUUGGGAUAACUUCAGGAAACUGGGGCUAAUACCGGAUAGGAGCUCCUGCUGCAUGGUGGGGGUUGGAAAGUUUCGGCGGUUGGGGAUGGACUGGCGGCUUAUCAGCUUGUUGGUGGGGUAGUGGUUUACCAAGGCUUUGACGGGUAGCGGGCCUGAGAGGGUGACCGGCCACGUUGGGUCUGAACUGCGGCCCAGACUCCUACGGGAGGCAGCAGUGGGGAGUAGUGCACUAUGGGCGGAAGCCUGAUGCAGCAACGCCGCGUGCGGGAUGACGGCCUUCGGGUUGUAAACGGCUUUCGCCUGUGACGAAGCGUGAGUGACGGUAAUGGGUGAAGAAGCACCGGCUAACUACGUG